rnacentral:rRNA from 1 species
AGUGAACGCUGGCGGCGUGCCUAAUACAUGCAAGUCGAACGGAGUGGCGCACGGGUGAGUAAUAUAUAGCUAAUCUGCCUCUUGCUGGAGGAUAACAGUUAGAAACGACUGCUAAUACUCCAUAUCAAUGGAUGAGACUAUAUCGUAUCAGCUAGGCGGUGUGGUAACGGCCUACCGAGGGUAUGACGCGUAACUGGUCUGAGCGGAUGAUCAGACAACUUGGAACUGAGGCACCGUUCAAAGUCCGACGGGAGGGGGCAGUAGUGAAUAUUGCGCAAUGGGGGAAACCCUGACCCAGCAUCGCCGCGUGGAGGAUGACACUUUUCGGAGCGUAAACUCCUUUUGUUCGGGAAGCGGUACCUAACGAAUAAGCACCGGCUAACUCCGUGCCAGCAGCCGCGGUAAUAC